rnacentral:rRNA from 1 species
UACGAAGGGGGCUAGCGUUGCUCGGAAUCACUGGGCGUAAAGCGCACGUAGGCGGAUUGCUAAGUCAGGGGUGAAAUCCUGGAGCUCAACUCCAGAACUGCCUUUGAUACUGGCGACCUUGAGUCCGGGAGAGGUGAGUGGAACUGCGAGUGUAGAGGUGAAAUUCGUAGAUAUUCGCAAGAACACCAGUGGCGAAGGCGGCUCACUGGCCCGGUAAUGACGCUGAGGUGCGAAAGCGUGGGGAGCAAACAGG